rnacentral:rRNA from 1 species
GCAGUGAGACUGCGGGGGAUAAGCUCCGUAGUCGAGAGGGAAACAGCCCAGACCAUCAGCUAAGGCCCCUAAGCGGUGACUAAGUGGAAAAGGAUGUGGAGUCGCAGUGACAACCAGGAGGUUGGCUUGGAAGCAGCCACCCUUGAAAGAGUGCGUAAUAGCUCACUGGUCAAGUGAUUCUGCGCCGACAAUUUAGCGGGGCUCAAGCAAUCCGCCGAAGCUGUGUCAUUCACACAUGUACUUGGUUUCGAUCCAGGUGUGUGGAUGGGUAGGGGAGCGUCGUGUGCGCGGUGAAGCGGCAGGGUGACCUAGCCGUGGAGAGCACACGAGUGAGAAUGCAGGCAUGAGUAGCGAAUGAGGAGUGAGAAACUCCUCCACCGAAAGACCAAGGGUUCCAGGGUCAAGCUAAUCUGCCCUGGGUAAGUCGGGACCUAAGGCGAGGCCGACAGGCGUAGUCGAUGGACAACGGGUUGAUAUUCCCGUACCGGCGCUAACACGUCCCUGCCGAGCCGAGUGAUGCUAAGCACGCGAGUUCGCGUGACGUCUUCGGACUGAUCGCGGGCGAGUCUGCGACCCGAACUCGUAUUAGGCAAGCUGCGGAGUGACGCAGGAAGGUAGCCCAUCCCGGGCGAUGGUAGUCCCGGGCCAAGUGCGUAGGGCGAGGUGUAGGCAAAUCCGCACCUCACGUGCCUGAGACACGAUAGCUGGUACGCCUACGGGCGUACGAGUGGGUGAUCCUAUGCUGCCUAGAAAACCUUCGUGAGCGAGUGCUAGAGCCGCCCGUACCCUAAACCGACUCAGGUGGUCAGGUAGAGAAUACCAAGGUGAUCGAGAUAACCAUGGUUAAGGAACUCGGCAAAAUGCCCCCGUAACUUCGGGAUAAGGGGGGCCUGAUGCGUGUAGCCGCUUGCCGGCGAAGCGCAAAGGGCCGCAGAGACCAGGCCCAAGCGACUGUUUACUAAAAACACAGGUCCGUGCGAAGUCGUAAGACGAUGUAUACGGACUGACGCCUGCCCGGUGCUGGAACGUUAAGGGGACCGGUUAGUCCGACUUCGGUCGGGCGAAGCUGAGAACUUAAGCGCCAGUAAACGGCGGUGGUAACUAUAACCAUCCUAAGGUAGCGAAAUUCCUUGUCGGGUAAGUUCCGACCUGCACGAAUGGCGUAACGACUUGGGCGCUGUCUCGACCACGGACUCGGCGAAAUUGCACUACGAGUAAAGAUGCUCGUUACGCGCAGCAGGACGGAAAGACCCCGGGACCUUCACUAUAGUUUGGUAUUGGUGUUCGGUACAGCUUGUGUAGGAUAGGUGGGAGACUAUGAAGCAGUCACGCCAGUGACUGUGGAGUCAACGUUGAAAUACCACUCUGGUUGUUCUGGUUAUCUAACCUAGAUCCGUUAUCCGGAUCAGGGACAGUGCCUGAUGGGUAGUUUGACUGGGGCGGUCGCCUCCUAAAAGGUAACGGAGGCGCCCAAAGGUUCCCUCAGC